rnacentral:tRNA from 1 species
GCGCCCGUGGCUCAACUGGAUAGAGCGUCAGCCUUCGAAGCUGAUGGUUGGGGGUUCGAAUCCCUCCGGGCGCUCCA